rnacentral:tRNA from 1 species
GGGCCCGUGGCCUAGCCUGGACAGGGCGCCGACCGCAAGAGGGGCGCAUGCCUCCGGAGCCGGAAGUCGCGGGUUCGAAUCCCGCCGGGCCCG